UUAAGAUUCUACACCUGUGCCAGCUCAUCAUGACAAACCAUUGGCUUGAAGAGGGCAACCGAUUUAUAGGCUACUCUUCUAAAUCAACAGUAAUAAUCAUUAUUUUGCCAAGUCUAACAAGCACAUCACCACCCACAAUCAAACAUAACAGCGAAAGUGAGAGGACAGUUGGAAUGUUGCUGUGAUACAUUGUAGGCAGGUGCACGGUUGGUAAUGAUGUAUGCUUGUUCUAUCUCUGCUUCCCCUGUUGGCUUAGAAAAGAGGGAGGCACAGGGAAAGGGGAGGAGACAGGGGCGGUGGCCAUUUUCUCUCUACCUCGAAGUUUUCACCGAAUCAGUGAGGAUUCAGUAAUACACCUGUCGUUAAGACUAAUUAAUGAAUUAAUACGUUUUUGACGACUGGCUAUGGAAGCUCCUGCAUAAUAUCACGUGUUAACGAUUCAUCUGUACAAUAGACCUACCAAUAGGACCAAAAAAAAUGAAAAAGGGACCGUUGCAUUUUUUGGGUCGAAAGAACCAGUCUCUCUUCGACACCAAUAUUAAAAUCAAGGAGAUGGACAAUGUUGAGCUCGUGUUGGAUUCAUCAGCCAUUCCUGAAUCAGGCACUGCCAAAGUGAGGUCCAGACCCAUAGUCAAGCACUACAUGUCCUCUGAUGUUGUGCAAGGGUUUGCUGUCCCAACACCCAAAGUUCCUGUCGCCCCCCUUUUCAACAGUCCAAAGAUCAACAGGGCAGUAAAUGGCGAUCGGUUUUCCAAUGGAUCGGCUAUAUCUGUACCUGAUUUGGUGGAAGGGGAGAUAUUUAUUCCACCUCCCCCUACAAUGGCACCCCCACCCCCUCCACCCAUGUUCAUCCCUCCCCCACCAGAUUUCUUGGGUGACUUGGACUCCAUUCAGCCUCCCUCCAUGCCCCCUCCAAAACCACCAUCAGUGGUUCUGUCUAAAGACUACGAGGAUUUCACCUCCCUGAAACCUCCACUAAUGCCCCCCCCGAAGCCCCCGUCAACUUCCUCCAGUGCUUCUAGUUCAUCUUUCUCCAUUUCUACACCAACACCAGUCCCUGAUUUUACUGAGCCCCCAAAGUUCACGCCUCCACAGCCCCCUAUAGACAUGAGGCAAGCUGCUCUGAAAGCCCUGAAGACCCCGCCUCUAAAGCCAACAAGGCUGUCCUCCAUCCACAGCAUGGACGAACCCUCCCAGGUUCCAGCCCAAGCUUCCCCAGUACAGACCCCGACACCCUCCAGCUUCAAGCCCCAGAACACAGCUAAGCUCUACAGUGUUCCUAAGCCUGGCAUUCUAGGCAGGCAGGUGGACCGUGACAAUAGGCCCAAGCAGAUCCUACUCCUCCAGGUCAAUGGGAAAGACCCCUCCUCUGUGGCACCACCAGGUAAGCCAGCCCAGAGAAAUAGCUUGGGUAUGCAGCUGGAGCAAGACCUGCAGGACUUAAAGGAAAACUUGCAAGCCACCCUUCCAGGCAAACCCACCCCACCCGAGACUUGGGAGGAAGUGGAGCCUUUGCCUUUUUCAGCACCCAAGCUUCAGAAGGUGGUCACUGCCCCUGUAAACACAGAGGCUAGCCAGGUCAAGCAGGAAGCGUCUCCAGGUCAGAACAACAAGUUCAGUCCUAUGCUGGACAGUAAACUACGCACCCUGAAGGCCAGUGAUGUCACUGGGAUGAGGGACGGUCCUGCCGCUUCCCCGCUGGCUCUUCUCAUGGCGGCUAAAGAGCGAGAGAAGGACAGGUCCAGUCUUUCCCUUGAAAACAGCAUGAAGAGUACUGAGCCAUUAGCCAGCAUCCAGCACAGUGAAUUCAAUCCCAAUUCUUUCACCGUCAUCCCUAGGGCCACCUCAUUCACUUCUGUAACUUCACAACAUAAACCACAGUCUGUGGUCCCACUGGAGGCCACAGUGGUAAUCCAGACUCCAGCAAAACCCCAGAUUAUUGAGUCAGUGGUGAAGGGGCCAAUUGCAAAUCCAGUAGUUCAGAGGAAUCGGCCCACCUCUAGAUCCUCAUCCUCCAGCAGUCUAGCCGUGGAGAAGCAAAGUGGAGAGCAGAGGAUUCCUUCACCCUCUAGCCUCGUCAGUGAUGAAGAGAACCUAUGCAUGCAAUUACUCCCUCCCCCUCCCGAAUUCGAUGACCAUGAUGUCGUGGACUCUCCUCCCCGCUCACCUCCACCUGACCCUCCAUUGAAGAUGGUUCUGCCCCCCACUCUCAGCCCUGUCCUUCCAGUCCUGUCCUCACCUCCAAAACCUAAAUCCCCAAGCCCUCCCAAAUUCCCACCUCCUAUCAUGGAGAUCAAACCCAAACUGCCUGUUCAGAUCAAACCCAAGCAGCCUCCCACCCAGGCCCUCUCCUCCCUCUCAGCCAGCCAGGCCACACUCCAGAGCAUCCUGCAGAAGAAGAUGCUAGAGAUGGACUGCAAAAUGGACAACAAAAUGCCGGCCAUGAAGGAAACAGACUCUGAUGACUGGGGGUCUCCCUUGUCUGAUGAGGAGACCAAGUUCCCGGUUGUCCCCAGAGUCACCCCGAAAAACCCUGUUAUCACUGCAAAGAGCAAGAGUGCCACUGUGCCAGCCAAAACACAAGGCCUGGACAUGAAGGAGCUGGAGACAAAAAUGGCCAUGAAAGGUCAGGGUUUGUCAGAGCCAUCAAAAGUUCUCACAAGCAAUGGGCCACGGUCAAAGCAGGCCUAUGGCAUGACCUUCAAGGUACAACCCGGAACCAAACAACCAAUCACUGUUGUCAGCAAAUGAGGAUCCAAGUCAAUUAUACCACACACUACCAUACAGCCCCGUCAAGAGCAAGGACAAUGGAAAGAGGGAUCUUUAAAUACUGCUAAAAUGGAUAUAACCAAUAAACAUGUAUGCCAAGGAUUUUUUCACCAAGCCCCUGGAGAAAAUACUAAAAUGUGCUAAGCAUUUGGCUAGAAAAGGUUUUGCUGUACCACAGCACAUAAACCUUCCCUCCAGAGGUGCUGUGUCAAAUAGCUUCUUGUCUAGGUGCCAAAGUCUAAAGAGUGGGUGGACUGUUGGAACAGCUUUCAACAGUAUCUUUUACUGCUACGGUUUAAUCAGUGCUAGUACACUGCCUUAUUUUUACCUCGGGUAUCGUUCUGAGCUAAUAGAUUCAAAGCCGAUUGUGAGGCUGUUUUUAAAAAUAGGAGCUGUAAUUUGCCAGCCUUAAUAUACACUGAAUAAUGCAUCAUAAGGAUAUUUAUAUAAAUGUCUUGAAGAAUUACU
rnacentral:lncRNA from 8 species